CCUACGGGUGGCAGCAGUGAGGAAUAUUGGUCAAUGGGCGCAAGCCUGAACCAGCCAAGUCGCGUGAAGGAUGACUGCCCUACGGGUUGUAAACUUCUUUUAUAAAGGAGUAAAGUGAGGCACGUGUGCCUGUUUGUAUGUAUUUUAUGAAUACGGAUCGGCUAACUCCGUGCCAGCAGCCGCGGUAAUACGGAGGAUCCGAGCGUUAUCCGGAUGUAUUGGGGUUAAAGGGAGCGUAGAUGGGGCGUCAAGUCAGUUGGGAAAGUUUGCGGCUUAACCGUAUAACUGCAUUUGAUACUGGCAGGCUGGAGUGCAGGAGAGGUAGGCGGAAUUCGUGGGGGAGCGGUGAAAUGCUUAGAUAUUAGGAAGAACUCCGGUUGCGAAGGCGGCUUACUAAACUGUCACGGACAUUGAUGCUCGAAAGUGUGGGGAGCAAACAGGAUUAGAUACCCGAGUAGUC
rnacentral:rRNA from 1 species